AGGGCUACACACACGCUACAAUGGCCGGUACAGUGGGUUGCCAAACCGCGAGGUGGAGCUAAUCCUCAAAGCCGGUCUCAGUUCGGAUUGUAGGCUGCAACUCGCCUGCAUGAAGUCGGAGUUGCUAGUAACCGCGCGUCAGCUAUAGCGCGGUGAAUACGUUCCCGGGCCUU
rnacentral:rRNA from 1 species